ensembl:lncRNA
UUUCUUUUUAUAAUGUCUAUAUUUAUCAGUAUAAAAAAUCAAAUCUAGAAUGAAGCUGAGAUUUGCAGAAGUUUCUAUGCAAGGAAUGCUAUUAAUCACAGACAAAGUAUUUGGUACAGCCAGAGACAAGCACACAGAUAUGCACAGAAGUUACAGCAGGGUAAUGUUAGUAUUACUAUUAUUGUUUGGCCUUUAUACAGAGCAAGAGGAUAGGGGGAGGGAUCAUAAUGUUCCCCAUCAAGCCCUCUCCUGAGGGAGAACAGCCAGGCACCGCCCUUAGUAGCCAGUGCUGGGCCCAAAGCUGCAUUUCUGCAGCUGCUUUUCUUUCUUUACCGAUUUUCUUUUAGAGGGCAGAGUUAGGCUGCAGAGACCGCACAGCCCCAGAGAGGCAGCUGUGCAGCAGGAAAUUAUUGUUGAUAUCUUGAAGAAGCACCAGAGAAUUAUUUAUUCAUGUUUGUGCUUUACACAAUAACAAAGAGCAUCUAGUAUAUAUAUGCAUGUCGGGGUGGCUGCUGCAAGGGUCUCCACUGCUCCACUCAGAUGAAAAGCUCUUUGCUUCUAUUCCAAUUCCCGUUGUCCUUUCAAUCCUGCCACCCUAGGCCAUAUCAGCUACCUCGCACACUUGUGCUGACUCCCUGUACGGAUGCAGACCAAACGUAUGGAAUUAAAGGAAAUCCAGAUAAACAUCACUUUCAGGAAAAAUGUUGAGCUAGAGUUCCACAAAUAUUUUACAUUCUUUUGAGAAAUCAACAGGGUAUUUCUGCACUGCUGAGGAUGUGAACACAAAGAAAAGGAAAGUGUGUUUAUUACAGCUCUUCCAGCUGCCCCAAUUAAUGGGAAAAGAUGAUAGUACUAACUUGGAGAGCAGGAGAGAACAAAUAAGUUGUGCAAAAAAGUGAGGUCAUGUGAAUGAAUCAAUUUCCCAUCACAACUCAUCCAGACAGAGAACUGACUAUUAAAGAACAGUUAGGUAGAAACAUGACCUGGUUACUUGCUUGUUCAGGAAACAAUCAAUACUUCUAGUAGCAGGCUUACCUAUCCAAAUACAUGCUACAUUAACCAAUUGGUGACUACAUAAAUCAUGGAGAAGAGAGAGGAAAAAAAAGUAAAGACUGCAGGAUGCAAAAGGAGGGGUGUUGGGAGCUUGGUGCUGCAGGGAGGGUGACCUGGCUGCUGGAAGGACAACAUUUUGAUUUCUCAGCUCCAUUUCAAGUUGCACAAGCAGCAGCCUCAUCUUCAGCCAGAUGAGCCACCCUACCAGCAAAUCCUGCAAGAUUACAAUCCUGUGGAUCACUCCAAGAAACCAAACCAUCACUUCUACUAUUGUCACUUGCCCAUAAAAGCAAGGUACGGCAGUCGGACACAUCCACUGCACUGACACAUAGAGGCUCAGUUCCAGAGAGAAUUGCUGCUGCUACUAUGAUGUGUUUUCCAAAAGCCUCUGAGGAAUCAUCUUUCUCGACUCUGUGGUAUAAACAAAAUUGGGAACCAGAGGCUAAGAGCACAAGAGGACAUUAUGGCAGACAUGGUUUCUCAUAUGUGAUUUUUCUCCUGCUUUCCACUAACAGAGGUCAUUCAUUUAAUGCAGAGAGCUCAAAUAUUCUCCAAGUAACCUGUCAUAAAGACUUAGUAUUCUCAAUGCUCCAUUCAAAGUACUGCAUAUACAUUUAUGUUUAUUAUUUCAGACUAAUGCUGUCAGUUUAGCAUUUCAGCAUGUAUGUUUAACCUUGUAACCCAUUUUGUCCUGCAUUUACUGAGGGUCCAUCAGCUUUAAAGGUAUCUGUGCUUUGGAAAACAUCCCACUAGCCAGAUGGGAAUGAUUUCAACUCCCUCUACCAUCAAGGGAGAAAGACCUAAAUUUGAGGGUAGAGCACUCUCAUUCUAGGACAGUAGCCUAAAUUCGGAGUGUUUCAUCCACUGCCUCUUUGUAACCAAUUUUAUUUCUUGAACUUUUACUUCAAAUGCUCCCCAUUUUUAGGAAGACAAAUUAGAAAUGUUUUCCAGCAUUGCAUAUGAGACAAAUAUAUACUACCCAUGACUGUGGUCACAGAAAUCUUCCUUUGCUUCAACCACUACUGAAGAGCAACAAACUAAUUUAAUUUUUAUAGUCGGAAUAAUUAAAACAGCUUUUCUUAAGACAGUGGUCAAUGAUCUCAGUCAGGAAGGAGAAAGAGUAAAGAAAACAUCUGUUGGGUUCCCCCCCCCCAUUAAAUGCUCGCAUUCUCACGCCUGUUGGUUUUAGAAUACAAGCCUCUGCUGCUUUGCACAAGCUAGGAGCAGCCUACUCCCUGCUACUCU